rnacentral:rRNA from 1 species
GACGAACGCUGGCGGCGUGCCUAAUACAUGCAAGUAGAACGCUGAAGGAGGAGCUUGCUUCUCUGGAUGAGUUGCGAACGGGUGAGUAACGCGUAGGUAACCUGCCUGGUAGCGGGGGAUAACUAUUGGAAACGAUAGCUAAUACCGCAUAAUAGUAGAUGUUGCAUGACAUUUGCUUAAAAGGUGUAAUUGCAUCACUACCAGAUGGACCUGCGUUGUAUUAGCUAGUUGGUGGGGUAACGGCUCACCAAGGCGACGAUACAUAGCCGACCUGAGAGGGUGAUCGGCCACACUGGGACUGAGACACGGCCCAGACUCCUACGGGAGGCAGCAGUAGGGAAUCUUCGGCAAUGGACGGAAGUCUGACCGAGCAACGCCGCGUGAGUGAAGAAGGUUUUCGGAUCGUAAAGCUCUGUUGUAAGAGAAGAACGAGUGUGAGAGUGGAAAGUUCACACUGUGACGGUAUCUUACCAGAAAGGGACGGCUAACUACGUG